UCUCGGGCGCCCCCUACUGAACAUUUUUUGCUUCUUUGUCUAGCACCUGCGGGGUUCAGAGAACCCCAGCUCCCUAAAGGUGUUUUGCUCACAUCAUCCCAGGGACACCUUUGUAUAGUGAGUACACAGAUCCAGCCUUCAGAUCGGCUUUAAUGUCUGUCUCUCCUUGUGAAUUUGGACAAGCUGCCAAUCCCAUUUGGCCUAAUUGCCUCUACCCAAAGUAUACACGAACUCAACUAUCAGAGAGAGGAAGGCCUGCCCUAGCUCAAGUCAAGGAAAUCGCAAAAAUGUCUGUCUUAUAUGCACUUCCCUACUGUACUCCUCGCCUGUGAUGUAGAUUUAUAGUAAGUGCCACACAGGCCUGCGGUGCUGAAUACGUGGGUGAAGAUGCAAAAGACUUCAGUGGAUUCUAAUGCUCAGAGGUCACCUAUGAUUGUACUUCUGAGCUUGCCAAAGAAUAGCCAUUGAAUCCUAUUUCGACAUACCAAAGCUGGGGUGAGCAUAGUGCUUUGAAAACACCAGUAUUGGCAACAUCCGUUUUUUAAAACUUCAUUUAGUGGUGCUAGGGACUGACCCUAAGGUCCUGUGUAUACCAGCGAAGCACUCUGCCACCGAGCUACCUCCUAGAAGCAGCCCUGGGAAGCAAGUACCUCUGUCCUUUAGCAGUGAACAUCUUGAGUUUUGGUGACUUGCUUGAGCCCCAGAGUCAAAGAGCUGUGAGUGACUGAAUAAACUAUAGGCCUUUUUAUGUCUGAAUCA